AUGGAUGCACACUGCAACGGCACCGCUUUGAUCGAUCGGGAAAAGCGUUCUCUGGGGAUGUUGGUCGGUGGGGAGGAGCAAACCAACGUUGAUGAUGGAAAAGUCCAAAAUUAUGCUCUGGCAUCCCUAGCCAAGCUGGAUAGCCUCAGUCAAUCUGAGUACAAAAUCGGUCUUCACAAAGUUGUUGAUGCACACGUCCAGGUUGUAGCAGGCUUAUCGUACACUUUGAAAAUGGAAGUAGGCACCUCUAAAUGCCUCAAAUUGGACAUCAACUCUAAGCUGAAUUGCUCAGAAAACUUGACUGAUAGGAAAAAUUGCACUGUCAAGAUUUGGGUACGAGAGUGGCUGAAUGAAACUCAAAUCACGGAAGCAUCUUGUGAGGACCAACCAGCUAUCUCCAGCCUCAAAACGCGUUCAAAACGUGGUAAUAAUGAAGGAGCUCCCGACGAGAUUAUUGGUGAAACUAAACCAAAUAAUUCAGACAUCCCUCAAAAGUCUAUUGAUGAUACUUUCCUGUGGAAGCAUCAAAGGAAGUCAACAAAAAGUUUUAUUCAGAUUGAUCUCUCAACUACGGAAAAUCCACAAGUUUUCCUUGAAGAUGAUGAAGAGACAUGCCAGUAUCUCAAUCUGACAAUGAGAACUUUAGAUGAUUUGACACCCUCACCUUUCAAACUAGGACUCAUCAAACUUGUGGACUUGAGAAAACAGAUCAGACCCAGUAAUGUCUCCAUAAGCUUGAAAUUAAUCGUUGGUUACACUAAAUGUCCAAAAUCAGAGGAUGACUCCACACCGCCUUUGACCUGUGCAGCAGAGGUAUUUGAGCCCAGAAAAUGCCAGGUGAAACUUACAAUUCUCCCAGAAAAUGAAAAAAUCAACGUCCAGUCUGCAGAGUGUGAUGGUAUUCCUGACAAGAUUUUCAAUCGGAAAAAGCGGCUUAUUGUCAAUGGUCAAGAUGUUGAAUCAAUCAGUCACAAAAAGAAGAGUGAAGCCCUUUUACCAAAAUUGGCACACUUCUUUAAAUUCGGGUCCAAACUCCAUCUUAAUCGCACCAUUGUUGCCAGAGUUGAGAGGGUCAAUGGACUCCUGUACACAUACAUUCUAGAAAUCACCGCUGACGAGCCAUGUAUUUUGGGACCUAAUGGAGUCACAGGGUUGUGUCCGGAUGAAAAGGACGUAACGCACAAAAUGGUAAUCGUCUCUAAAAUAAAAUGCAUGCUAGUUGAAUAAUAACUUCAGAAAGAUAAAUGAGGUAGAUCAUAGCAGGGAAAAAACGAACAUAGAAGGAGAAGUAAUAGUAUGGUUUUUAGGAAAUUA
rnacentral:lncRNA from 1 species